AUAAAGUUUUUAAAUUUGCUCUGGCUGAAUUUUUCAAUGAAAAAACAAUAUGUGUGCCAUAAAUGUAAUCUGUUUUUCAUGGGGUAUCUAUGAAAGUUUGGUGUAUUGGCCAAAUCAUUUGCAAGCAUCUUGCUAUUAAACUGCCAUACGUAAAGUCACGCUUUUAAAAGUAACUGAAAGCAGCUGAAAAUAAGAAUUUUUGAUGAACUUUCUUACUUUGGUUGGAGGAGAUGAGAAACAACUUACAGCGGCAAUCUUAAUACAGCUAAUGGCCAAAGAAAUAUGUUUUUCAUACUCAGUGUAUGGAAUGAAACAAAAACGUCCUGCAAGGUCGUUAUAGAGUUGCGUUUAGUCGUUUAUCGUUGUAUUUGUUCAUUUCGAAAUCGUUACUGACAAAAGUAUUAAAGAAAAAAUUGGCAGCUUUCUGGCGACGGCCAUUAAUAGAGAUUACGGAAGAAAAAUAGAACCGUAACUGAGCAACGCCCAAUAUUGAGCAAUGAAAUAAGUAUCGCCAAUAUAAUGAAAGUCGAUGCCCACUAUCUCAUAGUGAGAGUAUAAUACAG